CACCACACAGGCAGGGCACACCCGUCGGCCUGCAGGUUCCUGGGCAUCUCCUGUCGGCUCCUUCCCUGUGGGGGUGAAGAUUGCUGCUUAAGAAAAGACUCAGGAGUGAGAGCUCAAGGCUGGACAUGCCCUCACAAGAGGUAGAACCUCAGCCCUCUCUCUUCCUUCUCACAAUCAGUAAAGAACCCCAGCUUUCCACUGAGCUUUAGACCUGUAAGGAUUCUACGUGAUGUUGCUACAAUGUUCCUCCACGGUUGAAGGUAUUUCCCUGCGACUGUGUCUGAAUUGGGCCUUGGGUCUAUCAUUCUCAAACUGGUAACAAUACUGACAAGCUGGAAUCACCUACAUGCCUAGCAACUGGUAGAUUGUUCAGCUGCAUACAUCCACUAACCCAACAGAAUGCUUCCCAUUCUUUAUAGAAAAUAAAAAGACGUAAAUAUGGCUAAUCAUGGAAGCCAAGGCAGGAAUAUCAUGUGUUCAAGUUCAGCCCGGACUACAUAACACACUGUGGGCCAGCCUGGAGAGCUCAGUGAGCUCAUGUCACAGAAUGAAAAUAACACAGUGAUGGAGUCCAGUUGUAGAGUGCUUGCUUACGUAGCGAAAGCAAGGCCCUGGGACUGAUCUUCAGCAUCAGAACAAAAGAAGAGAGAAACUGCUGAUCACGUGUUCUGAUGUACCCAGGGAUUCCGACUCUGCUCUGUAGAUGGACACAUUCACAGUAGGAAGCUACACUGCCCUGUUCUGUGAACUGCAAAACAACCACAAAGCUGGCACAUGCAGCUCUGUUCGGAGGGUGUGCAGGGUUCAGGGACAAACUGUGAGACUGCUCCAGGUGUGUGCGACAAAUGACAGGGAGAACUCCUGGAGGUUGCAAACAGAGGGAAGAAAAGAUGUGAGUCUCAGACCCAUCUCAGGAGGCUGUACCAGAAUUGCCAUCACCUCCCUCCCCCCAGUGUCGUUCCUGUCCUGUAGGACCAGCCAUCAUCCCCCCCACACUGAGUGUUGCUCCUGUCCUGUGGGACCAGCAGUUAUCCUGGAGACAGGGGAUUCUGAUGAUGGGCCUAUGCUUUGGGCGGCUGUGUGACUGAGCAACUCUUGGCAAGUAUAGAAGGAAUGCUUUGAACACCUCAGCCUGG